rnacentral:rRNA from 1 species
AUGGUACAUGAUCAGGUCACGGGGAGGGUGCUGCAUCGAGGCAGAUGUAGAGGAGGUCUCUAUCCAUUGAUUCCAUCUAGGACAUCAAAUAAACAAGCUUAUGGUGUCAUCAAGAUAUCUUCAUCGCGUUGGCACGCUUGGCUUGGUCAUCCUUCGUUUUCAAUAGUUCAACGUGUGCUUAGGAAUAAUAAACUUCCUUGUCAUGGGGAGCUAGAUGUUGAGUCAGUAUGUGACUCAUGUCAACGAGCAAAAAGUCACCAAUUACCCUAUCCAAUGUCUGCUAGUGUAUCUACCAAACCACUUGAGUUGAUCUUUUCU